AUCUCCACCAAACGAAACUCGCCUGGUUCGUCGCUUUUUACGGAUCCGGCGAAUUGUCUUAUAAGAGCUAGAUCUGACCGGUGGAGGAGCAAUUGCAUCGACGGGGAAAAUAAUCGCCGAUGCUUGAACGAUUCCUCCACCGGGAGAUUGAUGAUCAACAACGGAAUCGGCGAAAGAAAUGUGAUUGGCCAAAUCCAACCUUUGAAGAAGAGAUUUCCCAAACGCGAUACCUUGCUUAGCCGUGCAAACUGUGACUGUAUCUGCGAUCAAAGAGAACUCCAUGAUGAUCUACAAAUCCGACGACGACGACGACCUUGUUCGAAUUCUCUUUUUUCCCUAAAAUCCACGAAAUAGUUUUGGAUUAGGGAUUUUUACAACAUUGCCG